GAAAGUGUAUGUAAAUAUCAGUUCUCUGUGCGUUUUUCGGUUUUUGUUGUUUGCGGGUGUUCUGUGAAAGUGUUUUUUUUUGCAUGUUCUGUGGCAGUGUGUGUGUGUGAGUUUAGUCUUCAAACUGCACUUCAAUAGUGAAAAAUUGUCUCAAAUUGGCGCAAGCAAUUCAAUUGUUGCUGAAGCAAUAAACUUUGCCGUCUGAAGGGAGUGCAGGCGCAUAAAAUGUACCGUUGAUUUUAUCCAACACUGAAUAAUGGAUCAAACGAUUGAAGGCUGGCUUAUGCUGACGAAAUCUAGUGGAAAUCCUUCGCGAUUGCCAAGUGUUGAGGACAGACGGAAUGGAGUUCAAUGAUUAUUAAAAAAAAAA